rnacentral:rRNA from 1 species
AUUGAACGCUGGCGGCAUGCCUUACACAUGCAAGUCGAACGGCAGCACGGGAGCAAUCCUGGUGGCGGAGUGGCGAACGGGUGAGUAAUAUAUCGGAACGUGCCCAGUCGUGGGGGAUAACGUAGCGAAAGCUACGCUAAUACCGCAUACGAUCUACGGAUGAAAGCGGGGGAUCGCAAGACCUCGCGCGAUUGGAGCGGCCGAUAUCAGAUUAGCUAGUUGGUGGGGUAAAAGCUCACCAAGGCGACGAUCUGUAGCUGGUCUGAGAGGACGACCAGCCACACUGGAACUGAGACACGGUCCAGACUCCUACGGGAGGCAGCAGUGGGGAAUUUUGGACAAUGGGCGCAAGCCUGAUCCAGCCAUUCCGCGUGCAGGAUGAAGGCCUUCGGGUUGUAAACUGCUUUUGUACGGAACGAAACGGCGAGCUCUAAUACAGUUUGCUAAUGACGGUACCGUAAGAAUAAGCACCGGCUAACUACGUG